CCUCAUACAGGAUAUCUCUCACACAUACACACACUCAUUUAAAUCAUCCACAACACUGUCGAAACAGGAUACAUCCUAGCCACAGGUGAUAGCCGUCAGUUCGGCCACAACAUCCCGUGACUGCAAGAGCACACACACAUACACACACUAACUGCCGAGGACACACAGAUAAGAGCGCACAACACAUACACCCACACAUUGCGAGGAGGACACAGCCUUGACUUGAGGAGACAAGCACACACACAUAAUCUCCCUCUUAGCUGAACAUUGUGUGACGGGGAACGGCACGACGAGACUCAGAAGGAUGACGAACGGCUCAACAAGACCAAUCCAAGAAGACAACACCUCAACUGUGACCAACCAGAAGACCAGAACUUCCAGACUCAACCUACUUUCUGUACUGUAUAUGACAUGCUUGUACUCUGUUAUCGGGGCUUCUUUCUGAUUGUUCCUUAGGAGCCGAAUGAACGGGCCCGUAUACGCUGUACCAGAUAUCUUUACUCUUAAAUAAACUGUCGCUUGUCAUACAAUUUAACACCUUGUCUGAAUCGAUCCUUGACCGGCUCACCCUUCUACAUAUCCCAUUAUCAACAGAAUCUUGGUAGCAGAGGAUGGUUUACUAAAGACCCAGUCCAGAGUGGUUGAUGUGGGUGUGAGGGGGCGAGUUGGUGAAAGGACGAUUCACGGAGGACAGGUGAAAACUUUCGGGGGAGGACAACAAUUCUGCUCAACUCGGGAAACUGAUCUCAAGGUCGACCAUAAAACAAGGGGCUGCAGACCUCGUUCUUAGGGUCCAGAUGGUGAACCCAGGAUAUUUGAAUGGACGUUCCAGGCGUGCCACCACCCCAUCUAGUGGUGAUUCCACAUACAUAGAUGCCAUUGGAGUCCCAAGGGGUGUUCCUGACGAGUAUAAGUUGGUUGAUCAGGUGGCAGCUGGUUUUGAGUUCUCCAUUUGUUGGUGGUGUACUAUUAAUAAAAAUGUGGAUAGAAUCAACUACAUACAUUUUAAUGUACAGAAACUGGGUAAUUGGACCCAGCAAGGAUUUGAAGCCGUGCAUGGUCAGUUAGCUGCAACUUCUCUUAUGACAUUUCAGAAUCGUAUUGCAGUGGAUAUGCUGCUGGCGGAGAAAGGUGGAGUUUGUACUAUGUUUGGUGAACAGUGUUGUACUUUCAUUCCUAAUAACACAGCCUCUGAUGGUAGCCUGACUGUAGCUUUAGACGGACUACGGACCCUUAAUGGUAAGAUGAAAUCCCAUUCAGGUGCGGACACUUCUAUGUGGGACUCCUGGAUGGAAGUUUUUGGUAAAUAUAAAGUGCUUGUUUAUUCUAUUCUUGUAUCGAUCGCUGUUUUUGCCGCCAUUUUAGUGCUUUGUGGAUGCUGCUGCAUUCCAUGUAUUCGCACCCUAGUGACUAGAGUCAUUACUACUGCUAUUGAUCCCAGUCAGGUGGUCAGGGAUAAAGCUCAAAUAAACUGUUGCUUGUCAUACAAUUUAACACCUUGUCUGAAUCGAUCCUUGACCGGCUCACCCUUCUACAUAUCCCAUUAUCAACAGAGGACACAGGUUAAAGAAGGGUUUUUAAGCCUUAAUGGAUUGAUAUAGAUCCGUUGUAUUUGUUUUUAUGGGGAGCACACGCUAAAUUAAGUGCACAGACGUUGUGGUACAUUAAGGAAAUACGCAGAUGGUUCAAAGGAUGCAGUCAUUGAUAUGGUAGGGGCAGGGGUGUAUAUCCCAGAUUUCAAUGUAAGAGUAUGUAAGCAGUUAACUGAUUGUGUCGGUGUAUGCGGCCGAGUUGUUGGCCGUGAUUGUAGGUUUGAGAUGGGUGCAGCAGGUGAAAACUCUCCGUGGUGAUUUGCUCUGAUUCGGCUUCAGUGUUGAGUAGUGUGAAGACGGGCUGGUCAGAUAGGGGAGACUUGUUUGUGGAGAUGAUGGUGCUGUUAAUGGGAGUGGAGAGGAUGGGAGUGGUGGUAAGCUUUUGCUGGGUUCCUGCCCAUGUAGGUGUGGAGGGUAAUGAGAAGGCUGAUGCCGCAGGGAAGUCAAAUCCUUGAUCUGGGCAAAAGGGAGUAGGAUGCUAGUAGUAAGGGAAGACAAUUUUUAUCACAUGCACGGGUCAUUUUUAUCACGUGGGGCGACAGCGUAGCCUAGUGGUUAGAGUGUUGGACUAGUAACCGGAAGGUUGAGAGGUACAAAUCUGUCGUUCUGCCCCUGAACAGUUAACCCACUGUUCCUAGGCUGUCAUUGAAAAUAAGAAUUUGUUCUUAACUGACUUGCCUAGUUAAAUAAAGGUAAAAUAAAAGUUAAAGGAGAGGUGGGGAGUAUGGGAUGUAGGAGAGUAAGCUGUGUAGAGUAGACUACGGUUUGGGCACACAGGUUUGAAUGCCACUGGGAGACAUGAAACAGGUCUGUGUGAGUGUUUAGUGGGGGAAUGGAGAGAUUGUGUGAAAGGGUUGGAGAAGCUGGAUGGGGUUUGGGUGGUGUAGUGGUGGCAGGGAAGUGUUGUCCAGGGCUCUAUUUUACUUUCUUAGAGGAACCGGACUAAUUAAGGUAGGCCGUGACUGGCCUAACAAUCCAGUACAGUAGUUGGCAGUGUAUGCACAUUAAAAGUUGGAUGCUGUCCGCCAACCCAAUCUAGCAGAAGACCUAGAUUGUGUAUGUGUGCAAUUCAGAGGGUGAAUGGGCAAGACAAAAUAUUUAAGUGUCUUUGAAUGGGGUAUGGUGGUAGGUGCCAGGCACAACGGUUUGUGCGUCAAGAACUGCAACACUGCUAGAUUUUUCACGCUGGACAGUGUGUGUAUCAAGAAUGGUCCACCACCCAAAGGACGUCCAGCUAACUUCACACAACUGUGGGAAGCAUUGGAGUCAACAUGGAAUGCUUUCGACACCUUGUUGUAGUCCAUGCCCAACGAAUUGAGGCGUUUGAGGGCAAAAGGGGUGUAACUCAAUAUUAGGAAAUUGUUCUUAAUGUUUUGUACACUCCGUGUAUAUCCAACAAACGCCUCUAUUUAGAAGUUGUUUUUUUAUCAAUAUAAUAUCCAAAUUCUGGGAUAUUAUAUAUUUCUCACCUUCUUUUUAAACAUUGAUAAGAAGCUAGAUUUUAUUGUUAAUUUCAAUACUAAGUAAAUUCAAGAUAUGUACAUUUCUCAAGAACCCAGAUUUCUAGCCUUCCCCUAUGAAUUUGUAGCUUUUAAUUUACUUCUGUUACUAUGUAAUUUGUAGAAAAUUAAAAUGCAAUAUUUUAUGUA